GAAAGUAUUUAUCUAGUGGGAGAAAAUCAGUAUUUCAAAAGUUAUAUGAAUUGUAUCUAGAAGAAUGUGACAAGGAGCCUGAAAUAAAGCAGAAGCUGAGACGAAAUGUGAACUUGUUGGAGAAGCUAGUCAUGCAAGAGACGUUGUCAUGCCUAGUAGUGAAUCUUUAUCCA